GAUGAACGCUAGCUACAGGCUUAACACAUGCAAGUCGAGGGACCGGCGCACGGGUGAGUAACACGUAUCCAACCUGCCCUUUACUCGGGGAUAGCCUUUCGAACGAAAGAUUAAUACCCGAUAUAAAGGAUGGGGAUGCGUUCCAUUAGGUUGUUGGUGAGGUAACGGCUCACCAAGCCUUCGAUGGAUAGGGGUUCUGAGGGGAAGGGCAGCCACAUUGGAACUGAGGCACGGUCCAAACUCGUAGGGGAGGCAGGAGUGGGGAGUAUUUGGCAAUGGGCGCUAGCCUGAACCAGCCAAGUAGCGUGAAGGAUGAAGGGUUAUGGGUCGUAAACUUCUUAUGUAAAAGAAUAGGUAUUAUAUGAAUAAGGAUCGGCUAACUCCGUGCCAGCAGCCGCGGUAAUUC
rnacentral:rRNA from 1 species